GAUGAACGCUGGCGGCGUGCCUAAUACAUGCAAGUCGAGCGAACAGACGAGGAUCUUGCUCCUCUGACGUUAGCGGCGGACGUGUGAGUAACACGUGGAUAACCUACCUAUAAGACUGGGAUAACUUCGGGAAACCGGCGCUAAUACCGGAUAAUAUAUUGAACCGUAUGGUUCAAUAGUGAAAGACGGUUUUGCUGUCUCUUAUAGAUGGAUCCGCGCCGCAUUAGCUAGUUGGUAAGGUAACGGCUUACCAAGGCAACGAUGCGUAGCCGACCUGAGAGGGUGAUCGGCCACACGGGAACUGAGACACGGUCCAGACUCCUACGGGAGGCAGCAGUAGGGAAUCUUCCGCAAUGGGCGAAAGCAUGACGGAGCAACGCCGCGUGAGAGAUGAAGGUCUUCGGAUCGUAAAACUCUGUUAUUAGGGAAGAACAAAUGUGUAAGUAACUAUGCACGUCUUGACGGUACCUAAUCAGAAAGCCACGGCUAACUACGUG
rnacentral:rRNA from 1 species